rnacentral:rRNA from 1 species
UGACCUACGGGAGGCAGCAGUGAGGAAUAUUGGUCAAUGGUCGGGAGACUGAACCAGCCAAGCCGCGUGAGGGAGGGAGGUACAGAGUAUCGUAAACCUCUUUUGUCAGGGAACAAAGGCGGGGACGUGUCCCCGGAUGAGUGUACCUGAAGAAAAAGCAUCGGCUAACUACGUGCCAGCAGCCGCGGUAAUACGUAGGAGGCAAGCGUUAUCCGGAUUUAUUGGGCGUAAAGGGAGCGCAGGCGGGU